rnacentral:sRNA from 1 species
AUGCAAAAUGGCAGCACACAAAACUUGUCCAAAUAUGUGAAAUUCGAUUUUAAUGUUGUCUUUUUAUUUAGACCCUUCUAAGAACCUUUAUUUUUCAUGUAUUCUCUCCGUUCUUUUAUUAGGUUUUAGUAUUUAAGAUUUGGACAAUUCUACUAAACGUAACAAACCUUU